GGGGGUACAGCUCAGUGGUAGAGUGUUUGACUGCAGAUCAACUGGUCCUUGUUUCAAAUCCAAGUGUCCCCU